rnacentral:rRNA from 1 species
CGAACGGGUGAGUAACACGUGGGCAACCUGCCCAAAAGAGGGGGAUAACACUUGGAAACAGGUGCUAAUACCGCAUAACCAUAGUUACCGCAUGGUAGCUAUGUAAAAGGUGGCUAUGCUACCGCUUUUGGAUGGGCCCGCGGCGCAUUAGCUAGUUGGUGGGGUAAAGGCUUACCAAGGCAAUGAUGCGUAGCCGAACUGAGAGGUUGAUCGGCCACAUUGGGACUGAGACACGGCCCAAACUCCUACGGAAGGCAGCAG